rnacentral:tRNA from 1 species
CCCUUGAUAGCUCAGUUGGCAGAGCGGUAGACUGUAAUGGUAAAGCAAACAUAAAUCUAUAGGUCGCUGGUUCGACUCCGGCUCGAGGGA